GGAUUGGUCUAUAUCUAUCUAUCUAUCUUAUCUAUAUAUGUAUCCAUCUAUCUUAUCUAUCUAUCUAUCUAUCUAUCUAUCUAUAUUAGAUUGGUGUCAGGUUGCCUUUGCCAUAUUGCAUUUCGUGCGCUAAAUCUAUUAAUCACCACGUGCUUUUCAAUUUUGAUUGAAACAUAAUGUACUUCUCAAAGAGUGACAAAGUUGUGAGAGAAUUAAGCCAAUGACGUUCUAUUAGAUAUGCCUGCAAAUAUUAAACAGUAAACAAGUAAUAAUGGGUUAUUUGUACAACGUAUGAUGUGCAAUUGAGCAUGCAAACAUGCUUUAUAUUUGCAGCUCUUACCCCCCAAAGCGGAGUUUUGCGGAGUACACAGAUAUAAUUCGUCAUCAUGGAUAGCGAACAUUGAAAAAGAAGAGAAGGACUCACUUGUUGAGGAAGAUAAACAAUGAACAUGCUAAAGACCGGAGGUGGGAUACGGGAAAAUUAUUCAUGCUCAACAUGCAAUAUCUGAAAUCAUCAAAAUAGGAAGAGACCUCUGGAAACAUAUGACUACAUUGAAUGGAGUGAUUGGAUAUUUUAUGGAAGCAAUGUUAUUUUCAUUGAAAACAAUUUUAGAGAACAUUCACCAUGAAAAAGUGAAUAUAACGAACAUUGAUCAAUCUCAUAACUCCUAUAAAGAAUACAAAAUAAGAGUAGGUCAAACACGGAUCUCUAAACAUACCAGAGUUUGGAUUAGACUUGAUGUAAAUGUACGUCAACAGUUUUAACAGUUUAUCAAUAAAAAAUAGAGCAUAUGAUCUAACAGAUAUUGGAUCAACCAUAUUGCAUAUUGAUACAGUGAUGCACACAGUAAAGAGAUGUGAUAUGAAGGUUUAUUUGAGAACAGUCUAUACCGAUAUAACCAGGGAACUGCGUUGCAUACAGCAGCAUAGAGGGGAAACAUGGAACUUUUGAAAUACAAUAUUGAAUAAAGAUAGAUAAUAUAUUUGACAAAAUAGUAUAGCACUUUUCAGAGAUUGUUACGGUCAUCUCAAGGGGAAAGGUGUUUUGUGAUCGACAACGAAUAACUGUUGAGGGUCUAAUACAAUCUUGACAGUUUUUUACUUCAUCGCGCAGCAGAAACUGGCAAUAUAAUAUCAUUCAAAUUAAUUUUGGGCCAUCCUGUGUAUGAGAUUACGAUGAUGACUUACCAAACUCAAUCCUGAAUCGGACGUUCAUUUUAAAACGUUUAAGGAUAUUUAAAUAUACAUGUACCUAUGUUUAAGGACUAUAAUUGUCUUAAAGACAUUGCGUUGGAUCCAGAUACUAUAUACUUUAACUUUAUUAUCAAUCAGUAUAGCCACAUGAUAGCUCUAUAUAUUUAUAUGGGUGCAGCAUCACAUGACGUGUACAAAUUGACAGGCUGUUCUUUACGCCUAAUCCCAUCUCUGGUAUAUCCAGUGUUCCGUGUUUGCCCAAAACCAGUUUGAAUUGCUUACAGUGAUUGAUUACUGUUCGUUAUUGUCACAUUUUUAUUUAUCACUGUUCGCUAUAUUCACAUUUUGGAAAAAGUGUGAAGAUGCACGGCAAUUUCAAUUCUUUACGAUUGCAAAUACGACCGCAAAAUACUACCAAACGUUUAAAGGGGCAUGUGCUUUUUUUGUCAAUAUCCAAUAAGAUUAAUGAUAAUAUCAUUUAUUCAUACAGGAUUGCACAAUUAGCUAUAUAAUCCAGUUUACUUUAUGGUCUACUCUAUAACAUAUAUACAUAUCGAGAAAAUGCAUCACAAAACAUGGAAAUAUCACAGUUUAUACACUUAUAAUUAAGAGUGUUCAAUUCAUUGAUACUUACAUAAGACUUAUCACUUAUUUCAUGAUGCAUUCCUCUUUGCAUUAUACAAAACUUGCAUGAUCAAGAGAGAGACUUUACCACAUGACUAGAAAAACUACUCCACUAGCGAGACAGUAAAAGAUCCCUAUAUACUGUCUGCUACACUAGUUUUUAGACGGGGUCACGUGACCCCGUGUAUUAGUUUACUGUCAGUCGAGGCCUCAAAAUGGAAGCCGUGCCGAGAACACAUGAAUUGAAUCUACGUGGAAGAAAAGAGUGCAUAAAUUGCGCUGAUCAUUUUGUACACAGGUUUGAAAAAUAUAAGAUCAAUAUUUUGAAGAAAAAAAAAUCUUUUGAUUUUUCAUUGAUUUUUUUAGAUGAAUUUGAAUUAUCUUUCAAACAGAAACGAUUGUUGUUUUCAUGAGCAAAUAUUCUUACUUUGUUUACAUCCGGUCCUUUUUACGGAAGAAACCGAAAAUACACUAAUGUAUCCGGAGUUUAUCGUGUUAUUUAUUCUAUGCACGCAAAAAUAGUUUUAAUGCAAGCCACCCCCCCCCCCGACAAUUAUACAGGCGAGUUCUUUUGGACGUUUUUCUUAUUUAUUUUGAGAUCAAAGUCUCUUUUUCACUAUAGACUGUAGAUUUGAGCUUGCCUUUAACUUUUAUACAUAUCCUUGCUCGUGCAUGUUUAUCAGACUUCAAAUCCUGAUAACUUUCAAAAUUCAUGUUGCUUUUGAAAUCCAAAAGGUCAAGGUCAUUAUCACACUUUAUACCUAUUGCUGCCAUUCAAAGCUUCAUACUUAUAAACUAUAUAAAAUACGUGCAUGUUUUUACUUCGUGAAUGCAAGCGUGCAUAAUUUUUCCAAACUACAACUCGGCCAUACACAUGCUUGAUGCAUAAUAUGAUGAAAUUAUAUCAUUUACAAAUCUUAAUAUUAUAGCAUUUAAAAAAUGUCUGGCUUGUGGAAUUGUAUAUUUAUGGUUGAGUAUCACGUGUAGAUAUCUGUCAUUGCAUAGGAAACUUCUAGUCCUAAUGUGUGUCAAAAAAAUUGAAAUUAUGUAAAUAAUUUGUUAAAAUGUUUACAAUUUCCAUGUUAAUAUUCUUAAGUCGUAGUAGUUUAGAAACUAUUUUAAUGCCCCCGAGAUCGACGAUCAGGGGGCAUAUUGUUUUUGUCCUGUCUGUCAUUCUCUAAUUCUGUAAUUCUGUAAUUCUGUCUGAAACUUUGACUUUGAUAAUAACUUUUGAACAGUAAGUGAUAGAGCUUUGAUAUUUCACAUGAUUAUUCCUUAUGGCAAGACCUUUUCGUGGGUAUCAACAUUUUUUUACCCUGUGACCUUGGAGUUUGACUUACUUUUUAAAAACUUUAACCUAACCAAUAACUUUUGAAAAGUAAGAGCUAGAGCUUUGAUAUUUUAUUUGAGUAUUUCUAGUGAUAAGACCUUUUCGUUGGUACCAACAUUUUUGACCCUUGACCUUGGAGUUUAACCUACUUUUUGAAAAUGUUAACCUUGCUAAUAACUUUUGAACAGUAAAUGAGAGAGCUUUGAUAUUUCACAUGAGUAUUCCUUAUGAGAAGACCUUUCUGCUUGUUCUAAACUUUUGGACCUUGACAUUUGACCUACAUUUAAAAAGAUUGACAUUGUUCAUAACCUCUAAAUGGUAAAUAUUAGAGCUUUCAUAUUGCAUCUGAGCAUUUCUUGUAACAAGAUCUUUCUACUGGUACCAAGAUAUUUGUCUUUGUAACCUUUGCCAUCUUCGGAAUUGGCCCUUAUCGGAGGCAUUUUGUGUUUCACAAACAAAUCUUGUUUUAUACGAGUUUGGAGUGUUUAUAUGUCCAUAUCAUUAUAAUCUUUUCUGUGAUACUGAAAAUAGCGAUCAAAACCCAGCAUUGCAAUUUAUUUAACUCUGAUGGGCCAUCAAUUUACAUUAUUAACUCAAAAUCUCACAUGGCAACAGUAUUAUAUUCUUUACAUAAUCAUAGUUUACUGUUCUGUAUAGAUGUUAUUACUAUUCAACAGUAAUGCUUUUACAAUUGUUAAUUGUCCAAAUACUGGUAUAUGCAUGAUAUUCUAAUAUGUCUCAACGUGUAGUACUUCAUGUUAUAUUGUUUCAUUUGAGAAGACAGUCUGGCUUGUGGACGUGGUUUCCAUUGGAUAGGAUACUUCUAGCCCAAAUGUGUGUCAAAAAAUUUGAAAUCACUAUGUUGCCAAUUUUGUUUACAAUUUACAUGUUCUUGUUUUAGUAGUUUAGAAAAUGUUUUUUGCUAAAGAAAGAACUGGAGUGUUUACAUAUCCACUUGCUUUUAACCUUUCAUGUGUUAUUGACAGGUUGUAUGGUGCUAUUCCAAAGUAUACCAUUAUCAAUUUUAUUUUUAACAUUUGGUUUCAUUAUGUUGGUUCAUAAAAACAAGAUAUUACCGGUAAAAAUAUACUGUCAUAUGUCGACAUAUCAUAUGUUAUCCUUAAGUUCUAUUGAGAUAUUAAACUUUGUUACAUACCUUUA